rnacentral:lncRNA from 1 species
ACAGACUGCCUUUCAGUCUCAGACGGUGCAACCACCGUCAAGGAUGGAGACAAGGAUGAGACAAGGUUGGAGCGCUGGUUGCGCAUGUGCCACCUGGUGCUGAGGGGGAUGAGGACACAUCGCUGGAGGGUGAAGCCAGGGCCCUUCCCCUGGGUUAACAAAGAGGCUACAAGGGUGGCUGGGGACCCGCCCUCUGUCUCUGUUUGAAAAGGACCAAAGAUGACCAAGACGAGGAAGUGCCACCGAUGAGGAUGAACUACCAUCAUUGUGAGGAAGGACAUCUGGAUAUUUCAGAAUUUAUCAGAAAAGAAAGUCCCCCCUCCACUUCCAAGGAAACUACACAAACCAGAGGAACCAUCUGCAAUUCCCACAAGGGAGGAAGGGCAGUUCAAUGGAGGACCGUCUGCAGCAUGAAUUCCUCCCCAUCCUUUAAGGAAAGCAACACGUCCGACUGGACCCACAGUCCCACCAGAGCAGGCGUGGGGCAGCAGGAGGGAAGCAAGCCAUCAAUAACAGAAUGUUGUUUCCCAAAUUCUCAAGUCACCUUUAACAUACACUGUGAGGUCACUGAUCUAAAAAGCCUGAAGUCAUUCACCUUCCCAGCACAGAGGUGGGAAUCCAUCCUGGCUGAAGAGGUUACAACUCCGCUCCACAGACACGUGGAGAAGAAUGGGGAGCGACCCCUCCCUGUAGGAAGCUGAUGGCUCCAGGAGGGUGGCAGGCGGGCCAGUACAUGAAACCGCAGAAUGCAAUAGCUGAUGUAAGAGGGGUGCCCAGAGGACACCGUGGAACACGGAGGAGGAACCACGUUUCAUACAGCAGAACCAAGGAGAGCCCGCGGCGGAG